AGGUAACGUCUGUUUGGUACAAUCUGGUUCACAUCAUAAUGGUUCUUUUGCCAACAGGAGCUGGUAAUCAGGAUGGCAGUGAGGCAGGCACUUGCUUGCAGAAGAACAGGCCUAGUUUUUUAAGAAGCCACAAAAGUGUCUUUGGAUGAUUAGGAUCUAAGGGGCCAACAGCUUUGCAAUAACAGCAUAAAUAUUGUGGGCUGGAUGGACAGGCACCAAAUGGGGACAUUCCAUCCUGCUGUGUGAUGAGAAAGCUGCCACUUUUGAGGCCUUCCAAAACAAAUCAACACUCCAUAUGCCAGAAGGAAAAGCCCAGGAAAGACCUAUUCCAACUGGAGAUGGUGAAUGUCAUUUCUUCAAGAAGCUGAGAUCCAGCUGGUACUGCCAGGUGGAGAGAAUACGAAGGGAGAAUGAAACAAAACUGCUCCGCUUAGGGAACUUGGAAAGGAAAUUGAAAAGGCAAGGCACAGGCUGGAAGAAAAUAUUUGAAAAAGAUUUAUGUGAACUUCUUUCUGGAUUAUACAAAAUAUUUUUAGAUAUUCUUACAACUCUAAAAUAAGAUAACUCCUUAAAAAUCUAAAUUCUACCAAAGGAGAGAUAAAGAUGACGAAUACAUUCAAAGAUGCUGAAAAUCACUUAUUUAUUAUUAGGAAGUUACAAGCUAAAGCAUAAUGAGAUACCACUACAACCUACUAAACUGACUAAAAUUAAUCAGACUAACCAGGUGUUGGCAAGAAACAGGG
rnacentral:lncRNA from 10 species